AGCAGUCGCCGCGGUAAAACGGAGGGGGCUAGCGUUGUUCGGAAUUACUGGGCGUAAAGCGUACGUGGGCGGCUUUGUAAGUUAGAGGUGAAAGCCUGGUGCUCAACACCAGAACUGCCUUUAAGACUGCAUCGCUUGAACGUCGGAGAGGUGAGUGGAAUUCCGAGUGUAGAGGUGAAAUUCGUAGAUAUUCGGAAGAACACCAGUGGCGAAGGCGGCUCACUGGACGACUGUUGACGCUGAGGUACGAAAGCGUGGGGAGCAAACAGGAUUAGAUACUCCAGUAGUCCCUGUCUCUUAUAC
rnacentral:rRNA from 1 species